CAGAUCAUACUUCACAGGAUCAUUUCUGUAGUAUAUCUUCGCAUACUCUCCCUACCCUUUUGACUUUAGCUGAACCAGCUAAAAGUUUUACCCAUGAUACAUGGU